AUCCCCAAAUCAGGUCUCCCAUAAAGGGAAGGAGAGUUCGUUGCUCAGUUUGCUCUCCGAAGGACAAGACCUGUUCCACCUUUCUUUGUCAAGUGCGUCCACAUGGGAAGCAGAUAGAAAGAGAACAACAGAGGUCCCAGGACUGAGCCUUGUGGGACUCCACACAAUAAAGGAGAGGAGUCAGACAUAAACUCCCCAACAGAGACAGUGAAGGUCCUUUCACUUGGAUAUGAAGAGAACCAGUCCAGGGCUGUACCUGAUAUUCCCACCCAGUCAUGUAGUGUCUUUGAGGUUAGGGUGGCUAACCAUUUCAAAGGCGGAGCUGAGGUCAAGAAGAACUAACACUGAACAAUCACCUCCAUCAGCAGACAUUAAAAUAUCAUUGGAGACCCUUAGAAGAGCGGUUUCAGUGGAGUGCCCUUUCCGGAACCCUGACUGGAAUUUGUGUUAUGUUAUGUUAUGCUGUGUUGGAGGAACAUGUUAUGUUAUGUUCCUCCAACACAGCAGUGAGUUGAUUGGCCACAACUUUUUCCAAUAUUUUGGACAUAAGUGCCGUCUUUGACACUGAUUCUGCAAGCUAACAUCAGCACUCUAACAUCUUGGGAGAAAGAACAUCAUGCGCAGUAAACACAAACACAGGCUGAUGAUCAUUCAGGCGUGAGCUUUCUGUCCUAGCAAUACCGACAUUACGGGCUAGUGCAGAAAGGAAAACUUAGUCCACAAUCAAGAAUAGUAAUUCUAAUCUCAAGAAGCACCGACCUAAACAACAACACACUUCUAAUAAACUAGCUGUCAGAGAGCUGCAGACACAGGAGGCCAAGGAGGAGACAUCCCAUCCAAACAGACCGCCGCCAGCUCCUUCUGUAUAUAAGCCAGGUCCAAACAGGUUGUUUGACCACAUGCUUCAUACCAACUUUUCAGUGCUGCCUUCAGAGAACAAAUUAAACAACAACAUAUUGAAAA